AAAGCGAAUAGUGAAAUCUGGUGGCUCAACCAUCAACACAUUGUUCGAACUCACAGACUCGAGAAUGGUAGAGGUAACUGGAAUUUCUAGUGUAGGAGUGAAAUCCGUAGAUAUUAGAAGGAACACCAAUGGCGUAGGCAGGUUACUGGACCAUUUCUGACGCUGAGGCACGAAAGCGUGGGGAGCGAACGGGAUUAGAUACCCCGGUAGUCCACGCCGUAAACGAUGGAUGCUA
rnacentral:rRNA from 1 species